AAAAUAGGCCGCGGACAAAGCCGGGCCCAAAAAUAACCGCCCGAAGGCCGGGACGCCAAGUUCGUCCAGCGGAAAAAGGCCACAAAAACGGGUGGGCUAUAGCCUUGGGGGGUGGGGCUGGCCAACUUCAUCCGCCGGACUCAGGAUGCCGCGAGACUUUGCGAGGGGCCUUCGUGUGCCAAAAAUAGGCCGCGGGCAAAGCCGCGCACAAAAAAACCACCCGAAGGCCGGGGCGUCAAGUUCGUCCGCCGGACUCGGAAUGCCGCGAGACUUUGCAAGGGGCCUCCGUGUGCCAAAGAUAGGCAGCGGGCAAAGCCGUGUCCAAAAAUAACCGCCGAAGACCGGGGCGCCAAGUUCGUCCAGCGGAAAAAGGCCACAAAAACGGGUGGGUUAUAGCCUUGGGGGAUGGGGCCGGCCAAUUUCGUCCGCCGGGCUCGGAAUGCUGUGUGGCUUUGCGAGGGGCCUCCGUGUGCCA
rnacentral:lncRNA from 1 species